UACGUAGGAGGCGAGCGUUGUUCGGAAUUACUGGGCGUAAAGCGCACGUAGGCGGCUUUGCAAGUUAGAGGUGAAAGCCCGGGGCUCAACUCCGGAAUUGCCUUUAAAACUGCAUCGCUAGAAUUGUGGAGAGGUAAGUGGAAUUCCGAGUGUAGAGGUGAAAUUCGUAGAUAUUCGGAAGAACACCAGUGGCGAAGGCGACUUACUGGACACAUAUUGACGCUGAGGUGCGAAAGCGUGGGGAGCAAACAGG
rnacentral:rRNA from 1 species